GACGAACGCUGGCGGCGUGCUUAACACAUGCAAGUCGAACGAUGAACCCGGAGCUUGCUCCGGUGGAUUAGUGGCGAACGGGUGAGUAACACGUGAGUAACCUGCCCUUGACUCUGGGAUAACUGCGGGAAACUGUAGCUAAUACCGGAUACGACCCUCGGCGGCAUCGCCAGGGGGUGGAAAGAAUUUCGGUCAAGGAUGGACUCGCGGCCUCGCAGCUUGUUGGUGAGGUAACGGCUCACCAAGGCGACGACGGGUAGCCGGCCUGAGAGGGCGACCGGCCACACUGGGACUGAGACACGGCCCAGACUCCUACGGGAGGCAGCAGUGGGGAAUAUUGCACAAUGGGCGCAAGCCUGAUGCAGCGACGCCGCGUGAGGGAUGAAGGUCUUCGGACUGUAAACCUCUUUCAGUAGGGACGAAGCGAAAGUGACGGUACCUAAAGAAGAAGCACCGGCUAACUACGUGCCAGCAGCCGCCGUAA
rnacentral:rRNA from 1 species